rnacentral:rRNA from 1 species
GACGAACGCUGGCGGCGUGCUUAACACAUGCAAGUCGAACGGAAAGGCCCUGCUCUUGUGGGGUGCUCGAGUGGCGAACGGGUGAGUAUCACGUGAGUAACCUGCCCUUGACUUUGGGAUAACUUCAGGAAACUGGGGCUAAUACCGGAUAGGAGCUCCUGCUGCAUGGUGGGGGUUGGAAAGUUUCGGCGGUUGGGGAUGGACUCGCGGCUUAUCAGCUUGUUGGUGGGGUAGUGGCUUACCAAGGCUUUGACGGGUAGCCGGCCUGAGAGGGUGACCGGCCACAUUGGGACUGAGAUACGGCCCAGACUGCUACGGGAGGCAGCAGUGGGGAAUAUUGCACAAUGGGCGGAAGCCUGAUGCAGCAACGCCGCGUGCGGGAUGACGGCCUUCGGGUUGUAAACCGCUUUCGCCUGUGACGAAGCGUGAGUGACGGUAAUGUGUAAAGAAGGACCGGCUAACUACGUG